GGGCAAUUGGGCCCCUGAAGAACUCAAAUUGGGUCGAAUGGUUCAGCCCAUUCGGACCCAGGUUGCUGUGGGAGGUGCAACCGCCUGAUCCCGGAAUUCCGGGAUUUGAUCGUUUUGAGCUCCAAAUUUGAACUGGGUUGGGGCCUAUAAAUACCCCACCCAUUCAGCA